CGGCGGGCUAGCCCGGAUAACUCGGCGUUAUCUGUAACCCGAAACCGUCGAUAGCGGGGGGCGAAGCCGGAGGAAGAAGCUUUGACUAUUGCAUGGCCCACAGAUUCUACUGUGAAACCCCGUCCUAUGGGGCUGGUGUUGGUACAAAGGCUUUCCUGAAGGAAGGUUUUUGUGCCUUAGUUGCGGAAAACGGUCUAGGCCCGGAAGGGAGCAAACCAGCCGUAAACAACUAUCGCUCAUGGGGGCGCGGGGCGGAGGCGAGUUUGUGGUCAACUAUGCACUGGAAGAGGCUGCGACCUGAGGCGUGCCCGCUA
rnacentral:SRP_RNA from 1 species